AGAAUCGAAUAGAACGCCGCAUCUGACACAUUAUGUAGUUGGUUUUGUCUUUUAAUCGUUCUGAAUUUAUGAAGAUGUAGUCAAUAGAAGAAAUCAAUAAACUCUACCUUCAGAAAAUACUUGCACAUAUUACGACGAAACUUGAUGAUUUUUUUAUUCAAGAAUGAAACACUUAUUACAAAGAAUCUCUCAGAGAAUGGGAAAAUACAAACGUUAGUGGUCAGAAGUUGUUCAAUAUUGAAAUUUUAAAAAAGGAAACCUCCUGACAAACUUACGCAAUCAAAUUUUUAAAAUGGUGACACCAGUAAGUGGGAUUGUACGACGCUAUUUGCCGCGAUAUUGUAUUCCAAAUCAAUUAGAACAAAAAUUGGUCUAAAAGUUAGAGAUGCUGUAAAUGAACUUCGUAAUGUAAGAAACAAAUUCAUCCUUAAAAAUAAAGAAAAAGUUUCUGAUUGAAAAUUUCA